rnacentral:tRNA from 4 species
UGCGGGGUGGAGCAGUCUGGUAGCUCGACGGGCUCAUAACCCGUAGGUCGUAGGUUCGAAUCCUGCCCCCGCUACCA